CUUGGAGACAGACGGAGCAAAAAACCCUGAACAGAUAAGAAACCUCUCCAGUGGCACAGGAACGACCCGUUCUGAACAUCUCCCCUCUCCACGCUUUGCCUCUGACGUCUGCUGUGAGGGCCAGAUGGAGAUAAUAACUGCAACAAGUUCACUGUUAACACACAAUGAACUCUGCACAGGCAUCCCAGCUAUGUGUAUCAGUGGAGUGGAAGGGAAAAGUUUUUGUUAUUCCUCACUCCAGAGGCAUCCGUGGUGUCCACAGGUGUGUCGCCAUGGCUGUAAACCAAAAGAGGGAGGAGAAGUGCUGAGCGAGCACACACAACAGCUACUUUGUCUUCCUCAAACAUCUUCAAGGUCCCUGUGGAGGGAUAAAUGUGUGAGAGGAGGUGCAUUCCCAGGAGAGACUCAUCUGGACCUCUGCAGGGCUCCCUCUCUCACGCAGCAACGAACAGCACGGCUCUUUGCACUCGCUUUUCCUUUUUCCUAUGCAUAUACCUCUUUCAGAUGUAACUUUAAAGAGGCAUAGGGCAUGGGAAAAUGGGGCUGCUGAGGUAUUCCACCGGGCAGAGAAGCAUUUCAUCAGCACCUCUCCGCUUGACAGCUGACCUCAAAGCACACACAUGGAGACACUCAAAACACAUACACACACACUAACACACACAUCUAAAGCAAUCUCCAGCUUUCCAUUGACUCAGUGUACAGAGGGAGACCACAAAGAGCGAGGCAAGGGUGAUUUUGUGUCUCUGUGUUAUAUUUUUGAUGUUAUAUUAUUACUUAAAUGUCAUCUUAUUCCCUUGUGAUCACUGUGUGUGUGGACCUGAGUGAUUUCAGCUUCAUUUGUCUUGUUUGAAACAUGUGUUUGCCUCUGAAUAACUUGUUUUCUGUUGUCUUUGAAUAAAAACCUUAUUUGCAUUAAA